GACGAACGCUGGCGGCGUGCUUAACACAUGCAAGUCGAACGGAAAGGCCCCCACUUUUUUGGUGGGGGUGCUCGAGUGGCGAACGGGUGAGUAACACGUGGGUGAUCUGCCCUCUACUUCGGGAUAAGCUUGGGAAACUGGGUCUAAUACCGGAUAGGACCAUGGUUUAGUGUCUCAUGGUGGAAAUAUUAUUGUUUUGGUGCAGGAUGAGCUCGCGGCCUAUCAGCUUGUUGGUGGGGUAAUGGCCUACCAAGGCGUCGACGGGUAGCCGGCCCGAGGGGGUGGACGGCCACAUUGGGACUGAGAUACGGAGCAGAAGACGAAGGGAGGCAGCAGUGGGGAAUAUUGCACAAUGGGCGCAAGCCUGAAGCAGCGACGCCGAGUGGGGGAUGACGGCCUUCGGGUUGUAAACUCCUUUCGUUAGGGACGAAGCCGCACCUUUUUUGGGUGUGGUGACGGUACCUUUGUUAAGAAGCACCGGCUAACUACGUG
rnacentral:rRNA from 1 species